rnacentral:rRNA from 1 species
UCCUGGCUCAGGACGAACGCUGGCGGCGUGCUUAACACAUGCAAGUCGAACGGAGAUUCAGCAAUGGAUCUUAGUGGCGAACGGGUGAGUAACGCGUAGGCAAUCUGCCUUCUAGAUGGGGACAACAUCCCGAAAGGGGUGCUAAUACCGAAUGUUGUACCGUUUCCGCAUGGAGAUGAUACUAAAGGUGGCCUCUGAAUAUGCUACCGCUAGAAGAUGAGCCUGCGUCUGAUUAGCUAGUUGGAGGGGUAACGGCCCACCAAGGCUUCGAUCAGUAGCCGGUCUGAGAGGAUGAACGGCCACACUGGGACUGAGACACGGCCCAGACUCCUACGGGAGGCAGCAGUGGGGAAUCUUCCGCAAUGGACGAAAGUCUGACGGAGCAACGCCGCGUGAGUGAAGAAGGUUUUCGGAUCGUAAAGCUCUUUCGUUAGGGACGAACGUGCUCUUUGUGAAUAAUGAGGAGUAAUGACGGUACCUAAAUAAGAAGCCACGGCUAACUACGUGCCAGCAGCCGCGGUAAUACGUAGGUGGCAAGCGUUGUCCGGAAUUAUUGGGCGUAAAGCGCGCGCAGGCGGGAUAUCAAGUCUGUCUUAAAAGUGCGAGGCUCAACCUCGUGAGGGGACAGAAACUGGUAUUCUUGAGUGUCGGAGAGGAAAGUGGAAUUCCAAGUGUAGCGGUGAAAU